rnacentral:misc_RNA from 1 species
GAAAGAUUAAGGCAUACAAUGAGGCUUGCAUCGAUGUUGUAUUCCAUCCUGUCAUGUCUAAUGUUGUUGCUUCAUGUAGUUGGAGUGGACAAGUUUCAGUUGCAGUAACCUGAAAUGUUAAAAAAAAAUUGUAUCAAGUUUUUAUUGUACAGUCUGUGUUUGAAGGGAAAUUUUGGACCAAUGGUAAAGUUAUCUCCGUGGGACCUAUUGGUCACAAGUUCGAGUCAUGGAAUGAAC